rnacentral:rRNA from 1 species
UUGGAGGGCAAGUCUGGUGCCAGCAGCCGCGGUAAUUCCAGCUCCAAUAGCGUAUAUUAAAGUUGUUGCAGUUAAAAAGCUCGUAGUUGAACUUCGGGAUCAAUGGGUCGGUCGUGCCCUCGGUACGUACUGGCUUUAUUGGUUCUCACCUUCUAAUGAACCAUAAUGUCAUUCAUUUGAUGUUAUGGGGAAUUAGGACUGUUACCUUGAAAAAAUUAGAGUGUUUAAAGCAGGCUAACGCUUGAAUACAUUAGCAUGGAAUAAUGAAAUAGGACAUCGCAUUCUAUUUUGUUGGUUUCUAGGAUCGAUGUAAUGAUUAAUAGGGAUAGUUGGG